rnacentral:rRNA from 1 species
UACGUAGGGUGCAAGCGUUACUCGGAAUUACUGGGCGUAAAGGGUGCGUAGGCGGUUCGUUAAGUCUGUCGUGAAAUCCCCGGGCUCAACCUGGGAAUGGCGAUGGAUACUGGCGAGCUAGAGUGUGUCAGAGGAUGGUGGAAUUCCCGGUGUAGCGGUGAAAUGCGUAGAGAUCGGGAGGAACAUCAGUGGCGAAGGCGGCCAUCUGGGACAACACUGACGCUGAAGCACGAAAGCGUGGGGAGCAAACAGG